rnacentral:hammerhead_ribozyme from 1 species
GUACUAAUGAAGAGUGCAGAACUAGGACGAAACGGCUGUCCAGUAC